rnacentral:rRNA from 1 species
UCUUAGGCAAAUCCGGGAUCACUUACGCCGAGCACCGAGACGAGUCCUAUGAGGACGAAGUGACUGACACCACGCUUCCAGGAAAAGCCACUAAGCUUCAGCUUAAGAAAAACCGUACCGCAAACCGACACAGGUAGGCAGGGUGAGAAUCCCAAGGCGCUUGAGAGAACUCGGGUGAAGGAACUAGGCAAAAUGGCACCGUAACUUCGGGAGAAGGUGCGCCCUUUGGUGUGGUCACGUGCGUGACUGAGCAUCGAAGGGUCGCAGUAACCUGGCCGCUGCGACUGUUUAUCAAAAACACAGCACUCUGCAAACACGAAAGUGGACGUAUAGGGUGUGACGCCUGCCCGGUGCUGGAAGGUUAAUUGAUGGGGUCAGCCGCAAGGCGAAGCUCUUGAUCGAAGCCCCAGUAAACGGCGGCCGUAACAAUAACGGUCCUAAGGUAGCGAAAUUCCUUGUCGGGUAAGUUCCGACCUGCACGAAUGGCGUAACGACAGCGGCGCUGUCUCCACCCGAGACUCAGUGAAAUUGAAAUCGCUGUGAAGAUGCAGCGUUCCCGCGGCAAGACGGAAAGACCCCGUGAACCUUUACUAUAGCUUUACACUGAACGUUGAGUUCUUCUGUGUAGGAUAGGUGGGAGGCUAUGAAACCAGGACGCUAGUUCUGGUGGAGCCAUCCUUGAAAUACCACCCUGAAGUGCUUGACGUUCUAACCUAGGCCCGUAAUCCGGGUCAGGGACCGUGUAUGGUGGGUAGUUUGACUGGGGCAGUCUCCUCCCAAAGAGUAACGGAGGAGCACGAAGGUACGCUCAGCGCGGUCGGACAUCGCGCACUGUGUGCAAAGGCAUAAGCGUGCUUGACUGCGAGAUCGACGGAUCAAGCAGGUACGAAAGUAGGUCUUAGUGAUCCGGUGGUUCUGUAUGGAAGGGCCAUCGCUCAACGGAUAAAAGGUACUCCGGGGAUAACAGGCUGAUACCGCCCAAGAGUUCAUAUCGACGGCGGUGUUUGGCACCUCGAUGUCGGCUCAUCACAUCCUGGGGCUGUAGCCGGUCCCAAGGGUAUGGCUGUUCGCCAUUUAAAGUGGUACGCGAGCUGGGUUCAGAACGUCGUGAGACAGUUCGGUCCCUGUCUGUCGUGGGCGUUGGAGAUUUGAGGGGGGCUGCUCCUAGUACGAGAGGACCGGAGUGGACGUUCCGCUGGUGUUCGGGUUGUCAUGCCCAUGGCAUUGCCCGGUAGCUACGAACGGAAGUGAUAACCGCUGAAAGCAUCUAAGCGGGAAGCACGCCCCAAGAUGAGAUCUCCCGAGAGCUUGACUCUCCUAAAGGCACCAUCAAGACUAGGUGGUUGAUAGGUCAGGUGUGGAAGCGCAGCAAUGCGUUGAGCUAACUGAUACUAAUGAGCCGUGAGGCUUGACCAG